rnacentral:rRNA from 1 species
UACGGAGGGUGCGAGCGUUGUUCGGAAUUACUGGGCGUAAAGGGCGCGUAGGCGGUGCGUCAAGUCAGGCGUGAAAGCCCCGGGCUCAACCUGGGAACCGCGCUUGAGACUGGCACGCUAGAGUUCGGGAGAGGAUGGUGGAAUUCCCAGUGUAGAGGUGAAAUUCGUAGAUAUUGGGAAGAACACCGAUGGCGAAGGCAGCCAUCUGGACCGACACUGACGCUGAGGCGCGAAAGCGUGGGGAGCAAACAGG